rnacentral:lncRNA from 1 species
GACAUUCUAAGGGCAUCAAGAAAGCUUUUCAACAAGCAUUCUGCAAUUGGAGGAAGCUACACCAUCAACUACAUAGCUCUUCGAAGGAGUCAUCAACGAAGUUCUUCCCGGAGAUCGACUUGAAACGACGAAGCGCUUUCCGACGUUCCCGGAGAUCGACAACAUCUCAAGGAGGUCUACAUCAUCCAACAUUUCGAGAAAUAAUCUACUGAAGGCCCUCGAAUCUUGGAGAAUCUUAGGAGAGAGAACAACAAAAUUGUACUCACAACGAUUCAUCAAUAAAAAUAAUAUUUUUCUUUUAUUUAUUUUGCUUGCAGUUGAUUUUCAGCGCUUAAGGAAAUUUGUUGCGAAC